CUACUUUCGUAGCCUGAGCAUACGUUUCUUGUCGUCCGCCAUUUUCUUCCCGUAUUUUUGGCCAUUUGUCUCCGUUUGUGACCUGUGCUGCAACUAAGCUCCCUAUGAUCUCUUCGGCUGUUCGUAAGUGGAGGCAGUGGAGGCGUUUGUUCCAACCGCCAGCAAGCUAGUUAGUCGGCUUUGAAACGAGGAAGCGCAUGGACGCAGCUAUGCAUCUCAAGCAAAUACCGCCUGACAUUCAGGAUUUUCGUCGCAUUUGAGGUAUUUUGUGGGUCGGAAGGUAGAAUGCUGCGAGAUCGUUAUAGCAACUGUGCUUUGAGCAAACGGUUAAACUCGUAAGAAGCGGGAAGCACGCAUUGGAUGCGAGUUCGUGGUCGUAACCCAUUCUCGUCUCGACGAAGUUGGAUGGUGCUUUUACGCAAGAAAUCCAACGCGUUCCCAAGGUGCAAAACAUGAACUUGGCAUAGUCACAUGAAGAAAUUUUUUGGUCGUCGCAUAUUAGAGAUUUCAAGUAUGUGUACAAUGCAUUGAACGCUUUUACGGCAGUGUGCAUGGAUGUCGCGCGGAUGCCAUUUCAAAAGUACAUAAGAACUGAUUCAAGUUCCUUGGUUUAUUAUUUGUGUGAUAUCUAGCGAUGGCUUGAUUCAUCUGUGUUUCGUAUUGAAAGCUUCCCAAGUGAUCUCAAUAAAGAAUGGAAAGCACA